UCAACGCUGCUCAGCGGCGUAAGCGUAAAAUAUGCGCUCUACAAUUGCGAGCCGCCUCAACUCCCCUCACUUGCCACAACAAGCUUGUGCGUACAACUAUGUGUGUUGUGCCACGAGGGGGUGGCAAAUACGCUUUCGUUACUCGCUGCCACUUCCAGUCGACACACAAGCGCUUGCACUGGCUCAGUGCCAUCGGCGUUGGCGUUGGCGUCGGUGUCGGUGCCGACGUCUUCUUCAAGUUGCUUCGCACUUUCGCGCUUUGUUGUUUGGUGCGGGCUUGGCAAAGUCGUUCGCGGACAGUAGCAGUCGGGCAUUGUGCCUGACUGGUGCGUCGCGUCUCAAUCAUCCGCCGCCCAUUCGCGCACUGCCUUUGCCAACUGCUAUAACGGUCGCGCGCACACGCACACACACAUACAGACACUUGUAAUAUUUCGCGUAAAAAGGCAACUGAGUUAAUAUUUCUUCGCGACGUGGCGAGCGUUUGUUGGGAAUUCGCUGUACAACUUUGCACGCAUAGCGACGAUUUUUUUUGCGAGUCCUCACACAUCUCGAUUGCCGCUGUUGAUUGCUUCCUUGGAGUCUGUGAGUUGCCGCCGCUGCUGCCAACGCCUGCACCGCCCGCCGCGCCACCCUGCCCUGCCGUGGCAUGUCGGUCGCCCCCGUCGCUGGCUCGCUGGCUGGCAUUGAUGGAGCCGUUGAAGAUGAAACGCGAAGACGCGCUCCCAGAUUGUUUAGCGAUUCAGUGGUGAUAAGGCGCCAGCCACUGCCGAAGAAAAGGAAUCUGUUCUGUUCGCAUUGCGUGCAAUACAAAUUGAAAUUUCAUUCCUCAACGUGAGGCGCAUCCGAAAGGUUGUCGGCGGCUUUGCCAUAGUAUACGUUUGGGGAUUGCCCCAAGAUGCUGCCAAAGAACUCAUAAAAAAUACAAGACAAUAUUUAACAUUACAGUACUGUUGUGAAUUGUGUGUCUAAAAAAUAUUGUGUGGCCAGCAACAAAAGCAAAAAAAAAAGAAGACAAAAAUUGUUAGAAAUUUAAUAACUGAAAGCGUAACAUUUUUGAAGUGACAUCUGAGUGUAUUAACUAUUAUUUUUCAAACAAAUAUUGCAAUAACGUUGUUUUAAAAUACAUAUUUCAACAAAAAUGGAUCUUAUGACAAUAAUUUUGUGCAAAGGUGCUUUUAUGGUUACACUACAUUUCUACAUUUGAUUUAAGUGAAACUAAAGUUAUAGAUCAAUUUCAAAUAGUUGUUCGAGCUCGAGGAAUACUCUGCAAGUUUAGAAAUAAAAUGUUUUGGUGGAAUGAAUGAAGGUAUUAGCUCAAUGUGAUGAGAAAAGUGACUAGUCCUCGACCACACACAAUUGUCAUAUCGGAACUUGAAAAUUAUGGCAAUGGAAUCGCUGCUAAGAUGCGCAAAGUUCGACAAAAACUAAAAUCCGAAAAUUCGAAAUCAGAGUGCAUGAGAAGUUCCACGGCGAGACAGUUCCGGUAAGAAGAAAGGCAACCAGCGAGGAUACUUCGUGUAGAGCAGACAACAUAAAAUCACUUAAAAACACAUAAUAAUCAUGCUAGUAUUAAGAAUUUAAAGAUAUCUUUGAAAGAAUCACCAGAAAAUGUAUAUAUAAUUAUCUCUUCUCCUAUGUAUUUGUAUAUAAUUUAUAAUAUAGAAAUUUUAUAUAAAUAAUAUAUUCAUUUUUAUAAGAAAAAUAUAUUA